rnacentral:rRNA from 1 species
GACGAACGCUGGCGGCGUGCUUAAUACAUGCAAGUCGAACGAAGUGGCGAACGGGUGAGUAACGCGUAAUCAACCUGCCCUUCAGAGGGGGACAACAGUUGGAAACGACUGCUAAUACCGCAUACUGAAGGAGGGGGUUGGGUCUGAUUUGCUAGUUGGAGGGGUAACGGCCCACCAAGGCGAGGAUCAGUAGCCGAUCUGGGAGGAUGAACGGCCACAUUGGGACUGGGACACGGCCCUUACUCCUACUGGGGGCAGCGGUGGGGAAUAUUGGACAAUAGACCAAAGUCUGAUCCAGCUUUUCUGUGGGCACGAUGCAGUUUUUCGGAAUGUAAAGUGCUUUCAGUUGGGGAGCGGUACCAACAGAAGAAGUGACGGCUAACUACGUGCCAGCCGCCGCGGUAAUAC